ACACGACUCUCGGCAACGGAUAUCUCGGCUCUCGCAUCGAUGAAGAACGUAGCGAAAUGCGAUACCUGGUGUGAAUUGCAGAAUCCCGCGAACCAUCGAGUCUUUGAACGCAAGUUGCGCCCGAGGCCACCCGGCCGAGGGCACGCCUGCCUGGGCGUCACGC
rnacentral:rRNA from 19 species